CCGGUGUCAUGGCGUCCAUUGCAAGGCCAGGGCAAAAAAGGGAGCAGUAGAUGCUUGCUUGACCACUAUUUUUUGCUUCUAUUCUCCGUGGACUGCUUAGAAAGAACCUGGGAGAUCUCCAAACUGCACAAUGGAGGUGGUGACCUUUGAGGAUGUGGUCAUGAACUUCAGCAAUGAGGAGUGGGGUUUGCUGAGUCCAUCCCAAAAGAACCUCUACAGAGAUGUGAUGGGCGAAACCUUUAGGAACGUGACUACAAUAGAAAUGACAAGCUAGGGAAAUCCUAUGGACAUACAUCUUGGAAUCAGUGUAAAGAAGUAUUCCCUUGUACUGCAGAAGCUUCAAGUGUUGUUCCAAGUGAGGGAGCAAGUUCACCCAGAUUGGAUGGGAUUCCAGGCCUCGGCUGAACUUGCUGGCAAGGUAGGGAGUUUCCCCAGACUGGAAUUGGAAUCUGUUCCUCUGCCCCACUCGCUGGUCCCAGCAAGAAUCUGCGGGCUCAUCCCCAGGUGAGGAAGAGAGUUUCCCCAGACUGAAAAAGGAUUCUGUGCCUUGGCCUGACUCCCUGGUUCUGACUCACUGGUCCCAACUCACUGUUCCCAGUGGGCAACCACCUGGUCCCCAGGUGAGGAAGAGAGUUCCUCCAGACUGGGAUGGGAUUCUGUGCCUUGGCCUGACUCGCUGGUCCUGGCAGGAAACCACGGGUUCUACAUCAGGUUUGAUUAUUAACUGCUUUCACAUCCUACAACGUCUUCAAAGUUGUGUUUUUAUAAAAAUAGCUAUAUAAUGUUAUGCUUUAUUAUAUAGUCCCUGAUGAUGUGGACAAUUCUAUUGAAAAUAACAAGAGAAAGCAUAAUAAAUACUGUAUAUCACCUAAUAUUGUGGCCUUAUAUGUCUCUCUCAUAUCAUGAUUUUCUAGGAAUUUGUUUUGUUGUCUUAUUUUGAUCUGUUUUUCCCCAUAACACAGAAAGGAUAGAUAUACACAUAGAGAUUCACACAUGGGAAGAAUUUAUAACCUAUUUAUUGGAUCCAAUAAUAUAAUACAUAAUGUAAUGAAGAGAUACUCUGAAGAAGAAGUGACACUAAGAAACCCAAUGCUAUUUAUGUAGAAUUAUGAUAUAAAAUUGAGCAAUACUAUUAUUCACUGUUCAGAGUGAUAUUAGUCUAGUCUCUUAUUUUUUGGGGGGAAUUGUAAUUUUAAUAUGGCUUUGUUUUAAUCUUUUGAUGCACAUGCUUCAUUUUCUCUUUCAUAAAUGAUUUUUCUGAAGUUGAUGCAAUAUUUGGCAUUAAGAUAUACAUUUGUUGAGGCUUGAAGUACGUGUUUUUGACAAAGUUGUGUUCUUUUCACAUAACUUGUACAUUAAUGAAUGUUAUGUUUUCCAAGUUGUGAUAAGAGAUCUGCUGAUUUCCUAGCAUCACUGGAUAUCAUAUCAUGUAAAUUAUGUUGUCUGAUUUUGUUUCUCAGUGGAGCCAAUAUUGGUCAUUUAAGUAAACCUUUGUUUUUCUAACCAUCAGAAUUUUACUUGUUAUGUUUAUAUUACAUCUUUAUUUGCUAUUAAGGUUUCCCCACAUGUACCAAAUGUAAA